GAUUUGAAAUUUUGCAGUCAUUAAUUUUGAUGGUUUACACUUUUUAAGAUAGUCAACUGAAAUUUAAAUUUUAAACGCGGCCUACUGCGAAUUCACAAAUAGGACGAAUUUUCAAUAUUUUGUUUCGCGUUAGAGAUAUCGCAAAAAGUUAUUUGGAAAAAUUGUUACAAAUAUUAUUCUAACCCCACAUACCAAAUUUCAUGACAAAAUUCGAACUUUUCGUUUUUUUUCAGAAUUGGUAGUCAAGAUCCUAAAACAUGCAAUUGGCAGUUCCGAGAUGCAGCUCGGCACAACCAAUGUCAAAGGCUCAAAAUAUCUAGCCUACCUAUAGCCCGAAAAUACACGGCCAGGCAAGCGACAAUACAGCCGCUGUGCUUAGCGUAAAGAGUGAGACAUGCGAAUUCUGUUCGGCUACUUUUUAGAGAGCCUGCCCUAGGGUAAAGCCGUCUUAGGGUCGAUUUCUCAUACCUGCGUUAAUCUAUGGUUCAGUUGAACCAGGUUCACCCGUGAUCUGUGGUUUUGUUUGAAAUGCAUUUCUCAUUGCGCGUUCAUGUCAGCGCUCGUUCUACAGUUUUCGAGAAAUGCCAAUAGAUGGCAAAAGGUAAAAAACUGUCGCCAUUUUGAACUACCAUUUUUAUGCUGUUUUUGAAUAAAGUUAAAUUUAAGUAUUUAUAGUCAAAUAGUCAUUUUAAUAAUUAUAAAUAAAUAUUAUAAAAACAAAAAUAAUGUUAUCGUUUAUCGUUGGGCUUAAUAUAAUAAAAUAGGAUAUAUUUAUAUUAUGACAGCGGUUCGUGUUAAUACAACGCAUGCGUAGUCCAUGGAAUCAUCUGAACUGAGUUCUGAAAUCUUUGAACGGCCGAAUUCCACCGUUCAAGGAUCGUUUAAGUUUAAACUGCCAUCGGUUGAUCGUGAAUUGAGAAAGACGAUUUUGACUUUAAACUGACGUUUACUAGAACCCUAACAACACACAACAUUCCAGGAAUGUACUACCAAAGUUCUAUCAAUAUUUGAAUGUCCUGGACAUUUAGGGAACAUUCGGUGAACAUCUGAUUAAAUUAUUCGUGGAAUGUUACCAUAAGACAUUCUGUGAACAUACUACCAAUGUUCCUAUAUGUUCAUUUUCAAAUUCACGGCGCAUGUAUUUGUGCAUGGUGCUUAGAGAGGGCAUCACGUGACUAAAAACGACCAAUGACCUCACUUCAGACUUCGGUGCUUCGGCCAUCUUGACAUGCAUCUUGGCCUUGGCCACCUUGCCGUGCGUGAUCGUUGUUUGUUUUUAUUUGUGCUUUUUAAGAAUAUUUUUUAAUUCGGAUACUUUUAUAAUAACUUUAAUAGUAUUAUUAAUAUAGUGCAUAAAAUCAGUUGGAGUAGCAGAAGCAAUGUAGAUAAAAAAUCUGCAGGAAUAAUGUUUCAAAGGUUAGUAUAAUGCAAAUAUGUAAACAAAGGCAUGCCCCUAUUUCAGAAAAUAUCCAUUUAUUAUUUUAAUAAUUGCGAAUAAGCCACAAACUUGCUUAUUCCUAACUAAAAUAGUGAAUAGAGAUAAUAACAAACGGAUUAUUUGUAAAAUUAAAAUUUUUUUUUUGUGUUUUUGCUAAUGUAUGCGUUUAUAAACAGGAUGGUAGACCACACACUAUAAUAGUACCAACUAAUGAAUACACAGUAUGAAUAGUAUAGAGUUUAGUCGGUUCACUAAACUUAGUCUCAGACACAACUGGCUAGUGAUUUUAGUAAAUAAUUUUGACAAUUUGGUAAAAUUGGCAAAAAAAUAACUAAAUAGUUAGUAAUUUUGGCAAAAAUGGCCAAAAACAAAAAAAUUACCUACUAAAAUCACUAGCCAGUUGUGGCUAGGGAAACGACUAUACUAAUAAACAAUUUCUAAGCUGCUUUUUAUAAUAUUUUGUGAGUUCAUUAAUCAUAUUUUUUAUUUAAAACUAAAAUUUGUUAAUAAUGCUCAGUAAUGCAUAUAUUUUGUAUUUUUAGCUUUCCAGAAGAUCCUGCAAAUAAGGCAUGAAGUAUUGAUCAGAUUUGUUAAUAGAGCAGUAUGUUCAAAACAUUUUUUAGAAAAAGAUAUUGACAGAACUUCACUUUCAACCGUUUGAGAGACUGUGCUGUUCCAAUAGCUUAUAUCACACAGAAUCAGCUGAGAGAAGUGGUCUACAAAAAACCAGGAAGGAAAUGGAAUAUGUGGCUAUGAAAGGCAAAAGAAAGGUUUACAAAGCAAAUGUGACAAAUUUUUUUAUAGGAAUAUCAGUAAAUUACAUUAAAAAAAUGUAUGAAAAGAUUUUUUGCAAUAAAAAUGUUUAUAUUUA